UGGCCUCUAGAGGUCACUAUAAGUAAUUCUUCAGUCAGUUUAUUCAUGUGAUGGGGUUGUGAUUAUAAACCCAGGAACCUGUAUAACCUCUCAACAGUUUAACGGUUAAGAUUUCCUUUGUCCAAGAAGCUCAGCACAAAUGUAAGUAAACUUAGUUUGUGUAAUUCUAGUGCUGUGCAUUUUUGAAUUGUUUAGGUUGCUCUGCCUCAUGUUCACAUUUGUGUGCUGUUUAGCCCAGAGCCUUUAAAGCUAACUUCUACCUCAGGAAGCAGCAAGUUAAAAGUUUGCACCCUUGGUGAGCGGAGCGAGCCCAGAGCCUUUAAAGCUAACUUCUACCUCAGGAAGCAGCAAGUUAAAAGUUUGCACCCUUGGUGAGCGGAGCGAGUUUUCACGGUGCUUACGCUGGUUGCAGAAUAAAAUCAAUUGCACCCGUUAGAGACUCUCUGCCUUGUAUUCAGAAGCCAAGGGCUGCGACA